AAAAUAUAAAACUUAAAUCAAAACAUAUUUACAUUUUUAAUCUCCUGACUGAAAAUUUAGUGCAUUUGUCUUCACAGUAUUGAUAUUACCAUAUACUUAUCAGAAUUUAUAUCAAUGUUACAUGUUUGGAAAAGGAACUUACUUCAGUCCUCUUUAGUCAUGUUAAGUAGUAUUGACACAGACAAACAUAUAGUUUUUAUUUUAUACUUUAUUUUAUUCUCUUUCUAUAGCUCUGCAUAGUUAGCCUUGUAACUCUCAGUCUAACCUCCAGAAAUUGUCACACUGCACACUUUCAACACUCCUUGUUCCAUCUCUCAGGCAUUUCUAUUGUUUCACUGAUAGGCCAAGCUGGCCACAGCUUAACUACAAUGUAAAUAUUUUAAACUCACAUGCUGUCUUGUGCUUCGGAAGGAAGGUUUUAAUUAAAACCAUGGGACUUUCGUGACGAUUUAAGGCAAAGGCAGUAACAGGGACAGGAUGACGAACUGUUGAAUUUGGAAUGGAAAUUUAGGAAGAAACAGUGAAUGUUUGCUGCAAGCCAGUGCCAGGACGUCAAGACAGGUGUGAUGUGAGAGCGCUUCUUUGUUCUGCUAAUGAUCCUUGCACCAGUGUUCUGCACUUUCUGAAGCUUUGUGAGGAGUUUCUCUGGCAAGCCGUAAUACAGAAUGUUGCAGUUGAUGGUAAGAGUACACUCCUCAAAAUGUUAGAUAGCAUUCUGGGAGCCUCUGACGGCAAAUGUUCUCAAAAGUUGCAUGUUGUCUGCGUAGUCGUGACAAUCAACACCUUGCGCCUCGAUAGAAUCACAAAGAGCCUUGAUGUACAGCGUGAACAAGU